UUAAGUUCAGCGGGUAUCCCUACCUGAUCCGAGGUCAAACGUUGAAAUAAGCUUUGUGGACGCCGGCACCUGGGGCUGGGAACGCAAAAUGUGCUGCGCUCCAACAACCCCAUGGCUGGCUGCCAAUGCAUUUGAAGCGAGUCCGCACAUGCGCAGACAACGCCCAACACCAAGCAAGGCUUGAAGGCUUAAAUGACGCU
rnacentral:misc_RNA from 1 species